GUGAAAUAUACGCGUAAGAGAAGAUUUUCUCUCGAAAAAACGAACUGUCAACAAUCGGCAUGGAACUGGGAUAUUCGUAUCAAAGGGCUCUGAAUGCAGGAAAAUGACUGAAUAUUACUUAGUCAACAACACUGGGUUAUGAAGAAUUCCAGCCUGCAUUAAAUACUAUGUUGGAUCCUUGAGAGCGGAUUUGACAGCCAUGUCCAUCCACAAGGCAGUCGCAUCUGAUUGAGAUGAUCACUAAACAUUCUUGAUGGGUAAAGUACCUGAAGGUGCAUGAAAACCAAAUCAGCAUUGACUCAGCAUUGAGUUAUCAUCUGUGCACACACUACAAGUACAAAGCAUGGGAACAGACCAAACUUCAAAUG